rnacentral:rRNA from 1 species
GAUGAACGCUGGCGGCGCGCCUAAUACAUGCAAGUCGAGCGAACAGAUAAGGAGCCUGCUCCUUUGACGUUAGCGGCGGACGGGUGAGUAACACGUGGAUAACCUACCUAUAAGACUGGGAUAACUUCGGGAAACCGGAGCUAAUACCGGAUAACAUAUUGAACCGCAUGGUUCAAUAGUGAAAGGCGGCUUUGCUGUCACUUAUAGAUGGAUCCGCGCCGUAUUAGCUAGUUGGUAAGGUAACGGCUUACCAAGGCAACGAUACGUAGCCGACCUGAGAGGGUGAUCGGCCACACUGGAACUGAGACACGGUCCAGACUCCUACGGGAGGCAGCAGUAGGGAAUCUUCCGCAAUGGGCGAAAGCCUGACGGAGCAACGCCGCGUGAGUGAUGAAGGUCUUCGGAUCGUAAAACUCUGUUAUCAGGGAAGAACAAAUGUGUAAGUAACUGUGCACAUCUUGACGGUACCUGAUCAGAAAGCCACGGCUAACUACGUG